rnacentral:rRNA from 1 species
GGUGAACGCUGGCGGCGUGCUUAACACAUGCAAGUCAAGGGGGCCCAGCAAUGGGCAACCGGCGAACGGGUGCGUAACACGUGAGCAACCUACCGAAUUGUGGGGGAUAGCCGGCCCAACGGCCGGGUAAUACCGCAUACGCUCGAGACGAGGCAUUUCGACUCGAGGAAAUUUACGGAGCAAUUCGAGGGGCUCGCGGCCUAUCAGCUAGUUGGUGAGGUAACGGCUCACCAAGGCGACGACGGGUAGCUGGUCUGAGAGGAUGGCCAGCCACAUUGGGACUGAGAUACGGCCCAGACUCCUACGGGAGGCAGCAGUGGGGAAUCUUGCGCAAUGGCCUAACGGCUGACGCAGCGACGCCGCGUGAGGGAUGACGCUCUUC